GAAGGAGAGACUGGAAGAGUCAAAGUGAAAGAUGAUUUGCAAUUUUAAAUAUGAUUAUCUGGAUACACCUCACCUGAAUGACAUCUGCAUAAAAACUUAAAUGAGAUGUGGGAGUUAAAUGUAUGGACAUGUGGGGUAAAUGCAUUUAUGGAAGAGGAACCACUGAUGCAAAAGCCCUAAGGUGCGUUUUGAGGAACAGCCCGUGAGAUUUCUGGAAGAUUGGAUGUGGGGUGAGGAGGAGGACUCAAGGACAAGGCCAAGAUGUUCAGUCGGAGAGAUGGGCUGAGGAUGAGCCUCUGAGCAACACAGACCACAUCCUCCUCUCUCUCGGUAUUUACUGUCUCUUUGAAGUAAAUACUCAGGUAACUUCCUCAGAAAAGAUACACAACAUUCUGAGACUAUACAUGUCUGAAACUGAGUUUAAUCUGACCGACAGUCAGUAAUUACUUGAGUAUGAACAGAAGUCUACACCUCAGAGAACUUUAAUGUUUCUGUAUCCUGCUUUCCUGGAAUCCAUUGUUGUAGAUGAGAAGUCCUAUGUUUCCUACAGAUUCUGUUCGUCUCCAUAACUUUCAUUUCUGACACCCAGAAUGAUGCCCAAAUUAAAAUUUUAAGAUAAAUUACACUGACAAUUAAGGCAAAACUUUAAAAGCUACCCCAUAAGAA